AUGCCCUACGGGGCGCAGCAGUGAGGAAUAUUGGUCAAUGGACGCAAGUCUGAACCAGCCAAGUAGCGUGCAGGAUGACGGCCCUCCGGGUUGUAAACUGCUUUUAGUUGGGAAUAAAAGGGGGCUCGUGAGCCCCGUAUUGUAUGUACCAACAGAAAAAGUACCGGCUAAUUCCGUGCCAGCAGCCGCGGUAAUACGGAAGGUCCGGGCGUUAUCCGGAUUUAUUGGGUUUAAAGGGAGCGUAGGCCGGCUUUUAAGUCAGCUGUGAAAGACCGCGGCUAAACCG
rnacentral:rRNA from 1 species